rnacentral:rRNA from 14 species
GAGUGAUCUAGGCAUGACCAGGCUGAAGGUAAGGUAACACUUACUGGAGGGCCGAACCCACACCUGUUGAAAAAGGUCGGGAUGAGUUGUGCCUAGGGGUGAAAGGCCAAUCAAACUCGGAAAUAGCUGGUUCUCCGCGAAAUCUAUUUAGGUAGAGCGUCAUCUGAAUACCCUCGGGGGUAGAGCACUGGAUGGGUAAUGGGGCCCCACAGGCUUACUGAUCCUAACCAAACUCCGAAUACCGAGGAGUACUAGAUGGCAGACACACUGCGGAUGCUAACGUCCGUAGUGAAGAGGGAAACAACCCUGACCUACAGCUAAGGCCCCUAAUUCGUGGCUAAGUGGGAAAGCAGGUGGGACGACCAAAACAACCAGGAGGUUGGCUUAGAAGCAGCCAUCCUUUAAAGAU